GGGAGAGUGGUGUAGUGGUUUGAACAUUGGACUACAACUCUAGAGACCAGGGUUUGAAUCCUAGUUCGGCCA